ACCAGACUUGUGCUGGGCGGAUCAUCCAGUGUUCUCACUGGUGCACUCCGCUCGGUUCAGGCCAGCAUCGGUUCGGGUGGCAGGAUAAAGGCCUUGGGAAUGUAGCUUCUUUCGGGGAGUGUUAUAGCCCUCGGUGCAAUGCCGCCUACCUGGACCGAGGACCGCGCUUCGGCUAGGAUGCUGGCGUAAUGGUUGUAAGCGA
rnacentral:rRNA from 1 species